AACCGUAUUUUUUGUUCCCUUCUACCUCUUGCUGUGACCCAUGUGUCCCUCUGUCUCUUGGAGCUGCGCCGAAAUCUUUUUGAACAGAAACAGUCUGGAAGAUGGCCUGGAAGACCUCCAUCUCCGUCUGCACUAUGGACUUCAAUUUCGCUGCCUAGCAAUCAACUUCAAGAUGGGAUUGUACUGCUACAGGUUGAUUAAUCCAUUAUCCUGAUGAUGCAUGGAUGCUGUGGCUCUGUUUUCCUGAGGUCGAGCCAGUAGUGAGGCUGAGCACAUACUCCUCAGGCAUAUACGGAAACACACAAGCACAUACAGUCAGAAUACUCAAGCACGCUGCUGGCCACAGAGAUCAACAUGCACAGGAAGUACCUCACCCCAUAUAAUGUGCCUUGAAAAGUUAACUAAUGAUCCUAUGAAGCUAUCAGAAAUAGCAAGACAUUUAAAAACUAAGCAUCCCGAACAGGAAGACAAACCUCUACAAUUUUUUCAGUGAUAUUUCAAAGUAUGUGAUAUUCAAUGCAGUACUUUUUAUAGAAUUUCACUGAACUUAAUGAUAAAUGUUUAGAAGCCUUCUUUGAGGUUUCUUACUUCAUAGCAAAAGACAAAAAGCCACAUACCACUGGGGAAACACUUGUUCUUCCUGCCAUGGUAAAAAUGGCUGCAGCGAUACGCAGAAAGCAAUACAGCGGCAAACAAAUGCAUUCCUUUGUCAGCAAACACUGUUGGAAGAUGCAUAGAAAACAUUGCUGAAGAUUUGAAGAAACAAGUAUCAGUACAAAUUACACAGUGUGAGAGGCUUGCUAUGCAGCUUAUGGUAUUUGCUAGAUUCUGUUUUGAUAGUGAAAUGCAUGAAGAACUACUUUCUGUGAGCCACUAAAGGAAAGACCUACCAGAGAAGCUACAUUCUCAACAGUAAAUUACUUCUUUAAUAAAAAUGUUUUAUGGAAAAGCUGUGCAAGUGUAAUGACUGCUGGAGCAGCUGCUUUGGCAUAAGAAAAGGAUUGUGUGGUAAGGUUACAUAGACAGCAACACACCUGAAAUUCGUUCCCUGCGUUGUUCUUAGGCAAGCUAUUGCAGCAAAGAAAUGGGAGCCAGAUAUGCACAAAGUACUACAGGAUGUCAUCGAUGUGGUUAAUUUUGUAAAAACAAGCCUUCGGAACAGCAGAAUCUUUACAGUACUUCCUAAUGAGAUGGGGACUGACCAUGAAAAUCCUUUCUACCAUACAGACAUUUGCUGGUUAUCUUGUGGCAAUGGGCUUUUAAAAGACUUGUUGAAUUUAAAGACCAGUUACACGUUUUUCUUUUACAAAAAAAGAAGUGUUCUGAAUUUGCUGAUCUUUUCUGUGAUGACACGCGUCUGUCAGUAGCAUGCUACCUAGCAGUUAUUUUUAAAAAAAUAAACACAUUUAAUGCCUCCCUUCAAGGUGAAAGUGACAUUGUAACAGUGGGUGAGAAAGUAACUGCUUUUCAAAAGAAACUUGUGCUGUGGAGAUUUUUGUGAUUUUCUUGCCAGAAAUGAUGUGUCACCUACAAAAACUCUCAUACAUGAACACUUACAAAAUUUGGAAACAGAACUUUCUAAUCUGUUUAAAAAUCUUCCAGGUUAAGACUUUCAGUGGGUUUUGAACCCAUUUAUUAAAGAUAUAAGAAUGCAACACCUUCUGAUUAGUUUGCAAGUUUUGACAUCAGGCAGAUGGAAAUUUGCUAGCCAAAUUUCAACAAAAAUCUUUGCAUAUGUGGUGGAUGGGAUUCAAAAAUGAGUAUCAUGAUUUAGUAAGCACAGCCAACAAUAUAUUUCUUCCAUUUGGAUCUAUGUAUUUUUGUGAGAUAUCUUUUGCAGCUAUGACAGCCAUUAAGACCAAGUAUCGACAUAAACUGAACAUAGAACCAGACCUUUGGAUCACUGUAUCACAAAGUGUUAAACCAAGAUUUUAAAAAAUAAUGAAACAUAUCCAAUCACACUGCUCUCACUAAAAGUAAUUAUUAAUAAUAUUUUUAGUGAGAACAAAAAAGGGGUUUGUACCAUUAAUAAAAUAAAACAAACAUUAUUUUUAAUAUAUUGCUUAUUUAAUCUUUAAUCUUUUUAAAAUUUCUAUUUUUGUGUAUGUUUUAUAAUGUACAUAAUAUGUACAUAAUAUGUGCACUGGUACAUGUAUAUAAUUUAUAAAUAAAUAAAUAUACAUAUAUCAGGGGUGCAUGCUCAAAAAUUUUUUAUAUAUAGGAGUGUGUGAUCAAAAAGUUUGAUCACUGCCCUAGGCAAUCAUAGAUUACAUUAAAGCAUUUGUAAAUUCAAACUACACAAAGAAACAGCGUUGAAAAAAUAUUUCAAAAUUUCUCCCUUGAUAACUGCCCACACCUUCUACUGUACUACUGACAGCAAUUUGUAUCACUUCGUUUCUAAAAAGUCUUUGGGUUUUUUCUUCAGUGUUCUAUCCUACAUGUAAAACAUCCUUCCCAAACCUUUUCACUGAACCCAAACCUGUCCACUCAUUUAGAAGACCCUUAAAAUUUUUCUUCUUGUAUGUGGAAAGUGUUUGAAUUCACUCCUUUUAGCAAGUACAACAGAAUUUAAAAGUAUGCACAUUCCAUAUUGGAGUAAGACUCUGACUCUUUUAACACUUGUGCCAUUUCUCCUGUAUUUAAUGCUGUAUAUUUCCAGAUCUUAAAUUCCUCAGCUAAAUUUUGUAUUUUUUCAGGACACUAGAGCAAAAUGGACCGGUGAAGUACUUUGGAAAAAUAAUUUUCAUUUUCGCUUUUUCCAUCUUCCUACAAAUUUAGUAUUUUUGUUUGGGACACUCAGAACAAGCAUGUAAUGAUAAUUAUAAUGUUUAAAAAUCUCCACACACAUAAGAAAAACAUGAUAAUCCACUUUGUAACAACCCUUUUAAUAUAUCUAAUAAAGUUAAGGAGCUGACCUGAGGCCCCAGUAGCCGGACAUCCAUUUUGUUUCUUAACGCAGAAGAGGCCAUGGUAAGUAUUUCUCAUAAACUCAGAAAUGAUAAUUGUGCAAUCCAGGGAGAGGUUUAGGCAUCAGAUAUAAAAUACAAAUAUAGGCACGUAAAGUGGGACAUCAGACGCGAGAGUUCAAAACCGUAGUUGUGAAAACCCCAGUUCAGCAGCUGCAUAACCUUAGACAUGCUUCAUAGCGUUAGGCUGUCUAUAUGCCUGGUCCGUCACCUCUUCCUCUGCCAGUGCAAAGGAAAGCACCCGGUUUCCCAGUCACCACUGAACAGACACAAAGGAAGAAAAGGAAAAGAAAAUGCCCAAAUCUCUCUCAAUGGAGCGAAAGAGAUGUAGAUACUUCCCCAUCCAGACUACUAUUCACCUUGAAGUACUUUUUCAAGGUAGAGAUACCUGUUCUUCUUGCUAAUGUCACCUUCAGAUCAUUUCUGAAGUUACAAUGCCUUUUUGUCAUGGGAAGUGAGGCAGGGUCCCUAUAUCUUUCUCCUCUACUAUACAGCAGUUAGGACAUUGUUAUGGGUUUGUGUGGCGCGGGGGUUUUUUUUGGUAGCGGGGAGGGGGCCGCAGGGCCGGCUCCUGUCAGAAGCUGCUUGAAGCUUCCCGGGCUCCAGGCCGGACCCGCCUCUGGCCCAGGCCGAGCCCCUCAGUGACAGUGGUAACACCUGUGGGAGAGGAGAUUUAAGAAGGGAACCUGCAGCGAGUCGGGGGAUUGG